UACGUAGGGUGCGAGCGUUAAUCGGAAUUACUGGGCGUAAAGCGUGCGCAGGCGGUUUGUUAAGAUAGGCGUGAAAUCCCCGGGCUCAACCUGGGAACUGCGCUUAUGACUGGCAAGCUAGAGUACGGCAGAGGGGGGUGGAAUUCCACGUGUAGCAGUGAAAUGCGUAGGGAUGUGGAGGAACACCAAUGGCGAAGGCAGCCCCCUGGGUCGAUACUGACGCUCAUGCACGAAAGCGUGGGUAGCAAACAGG
rnacentral:rRNA from 1 species